AUGAGAAAAGUCAGGAAUCGAUCAAAAGAAUCAAAAUGCGUGCAUCGUAACGAAUCCCCGGUUCUUUAAAGUUUUAAUCGGUUCUAAAAUGAAACUGAUUCUUCAUACCCAACCCUAGACUCUGUCUUUGUUCACCAGUGGUCCCUUUUUUCCCUGUGACGGAGCAUGUUGUCAUUUUUUCUAAGGUGGAAAUGGAGUCCAUCACAGUUCUGAGUAACAUAAGUGUAUGGAAUUGAAACGACAUAAGGGUUGAUGAUGACAAGGUGAUGACACAAAGGAGCUUCCAUUGCCUUUAUUGCAACUAGGACUGACAAUAAUGUCUGCAAACCCUUCUCCAAAUAUUAAGUCUUAUUCUAUUACAACAUUGCCACCUGCCAGCAACCAAAUAUCUGUUUAAAAAUAUGUUGUCAAUUUUUGUAAAUAGAUCAUUUUGUCAAAAUAAAGAUUAAAAAAAUCUGCCACCACAUUUGUGUGUAUAUUGCCUUUAUGCAGAUUUCAAAUGUAUUUAUAUAAUUUAUCAUUGGAACCAAAGUACACAUUAUCACACUUGUUGAUGCACAGUAAAGCCGAAAGUUGAUGUUUACGCAAACAUUAGCCUACUUGUGGUUUGGUAACAUGUGAUCCACAUGUUGAAACUAUUGCAUUAUA